rnacentral:rRNA from 1 species
GACGAACCGUGCGAACGUUGUUCGGAUUCACUGGGCUUAAAGGGCGCGUAGGCGGGCGACCGAGUCGGGGGUGAAAUCUUUCGGCCCAACCGGAAAAGGGCCCCCGAUACUGGCCGCCUCGAGGGGGGUAGGGGCAUGCGGAACUUCCGGUGGAGCGGUGAAAUGCGUAGAUAUCGGAAGGAAGCGCCGGUGGCGAAAGCGGCGUGCUGGACCCCUUCUGACGCUGAGGCGCGAAAGCCAGGGGAGCAAACGGG